UACGUAGGGUGCAAGCGUUUGUCCGGAAUUAUUGGGCGUAAAGAGCUCGUAGGCGGUUUGUCGCGUCUGCCGUGAAAACCCGAGGCUCAACCUCGGGCCUGCAGUGGGUACGGGGCAGACUAGAGUGCGGUAGGGGAGAUUGGAAUUCCUGGUGUAGCGGUGGAAUGCGCAGAUAUCAGGAGGAACACCAAUGGCGAAGGCAGAUCUCUGGGCCGUAACUGACGCUGAGGAGCGAAAGCAUGGGGAGCGAACAGG
rnacentral:rRNA from 1 species